AACGAACGCUGGCGGCAGGCUUAACACAUGCAAGUCGAACACCCCGCAAGGGGAGUGGCAGACGGGUGAGUAACGCGUGGGAAUCUACCCAUCCCUACGGAAUAACGCAUGGAAACGUGUGCUAAUACCGUAUACGCCCUACGGGGGAAAGAUUUAUCGGGGAUGGAUGAGCCCGCGUUGGAUUAGCUAGUUGGUGGGGUAAAGGCCUACCAAGGCGACGAUCCAUAGCUGGUCUGAGAGGAUGAUCAGCCACAUUGGGACUGAGACACGGCCCAAACUCCUACGGGAAGCAGCAGUGGGGAAUAUUGGACAAUGGGCGCAAGCCUGAUCCAGCCAUGCCGCGUGAGUGAUGAAGGCCUUAGGGUUGUAAAGCUCUUUCACCGGAGAAGAUAAUGACGGUAUCCGGAGAAGAAGCCCCGGCUAACUUCGUG
rnacentral:rRNA from 1 species